rnacentral:rRNA from 1 species
CAAGCAAGUCGUACGAGAGUUUUUAACUCAAGUGGCGGACGGGUGAGUAACACGUAAGAAUUUGCCUCUAGGAGGGGGACAACAACUGGAAACGGUUGCUAAUACCCCAUAUGCUUUCGAGUGAAAUGGAUUUUUCCGCCUAGAGAGAAGCUUGCGGCUGAUUAGCUUGUUGGUGAGGUAAUGGCUCACCAAGGCGACGAUCAGUAUCUGGUUUGAGAGGACGAUCAGACACACUGGAACUGAGACACGGUCCAGACUCCUACGGGAGGCAGCAGUGGGGAAUUUUCCGCAAUGGGCGAAAGCCUGACGGAGCAAUCUCGCGUGAGGGAUGACUGCCUAUGGGUUGUAAACCUCUUUUUUCAGGGAGGAAUAAAUGACGUGUACCUGAAGAAUAAGCAUCGGCUAACUCCGUGCCAGCAGCCGCGGUAAGACGGAGGAUGCAAGUGUUAUCCGGAAUCACUGGGCGUAAAGCGUCUGUAGGUGGUUUAAUAAGUCAACUGUUAAAUCUUGAAGCUCAACUUCAAAAUCGCAGUCGAAACUGUUAGACUAGAGUAUAGUAGGGGUAAAGGGAAUUUCCAGUGGAGCGGUGAAAUGCGUAGAGAUUGGAAAGAACACCGAUGGCGAAGGCACUUUACUGGGCUAUUACUGACACUCAGAGACGAAAGCUAGGGUAGCAAAUGGGAUUAGAUACCCCAGUAGUCCUAGCCGUAAACAAUGGAUACUAGAUGUUGAACAGAUCGACCUGUGCAGUAUCAAAGCUAACGCGUUAAGUAUC